rnacentral:rRNA from 1 species
CCGGCACGGGUGAGUAACACGUAUCCAACCUGCCGUCUACUCUUGGACAGCCUUCCGAAAGGAAGAUUAAUACAAGAUGGCAUCAUGAGUCCGCAUGUUCACAUGAUUAAAGGUAUUCCGGUAGACGAUGGGGAUGCGUUCCAUUAGAUAGUAGGCGGGGUAACGGCCCACCUAGUCUUCGAUGGAUAGGGGUUCUGAGAGGAAGGUCCCCCACAUUGGAACUGAGACACGGUCCAA